rnacentral:rRNA from 2 species
GUGGGUAGUUUGACUGGGGCGGUCUCCUCCCAAAGAGUAACGGAGGAGUACGAAGGUGCGCUCAGACCGGUCGGAAAUCGGUCGUAGAGUAUAAAGGCAAAAGCGCGCUUGACUGCGAGACACACACGUCGAGCAGGUACGAAAGUAGGUCUUAGUGAUCCGGUGGUUCUGUAUGGAAGGGCCAUCGCUCAACGGAUAAAAGGUACUCCGGGGAUAACAGGCUGAUACCGCCCAAGAGUUCAUAUCGACGGCGGUGUUUGGCACCUCGAUGUCGGCUCAUCACAUCCUGGGGCUGAAGCCGGUCCCAAGGGUAUGGCUGUUCGCCAUUUAAAGUGGUACGCGAGCUGGGUUUAGAACGUCGUGAGACAGUUCGGUCCCUAUCUGCCGUGGACGUUUGAGAUUUGAGAGGGGCUGCUCCUAGUACGAGAGGACCGGAGUGGACGAACCUCUGGUGUUCCGGUUGUCACGCCAGUGGCAUUGCCGGGUAGCUAUGUUCGGAAGAGAUAACCGCUGAAAGCAUCUAAGCGGGAAACUUGCCUCAAGAUGAGAUCUCACUGGGAUCUUGAAUCCCCUAAAGGGCCGUCGAAGACUACGACGUUGAUAGGUUGGGUGUGUAAGCGCUGUGAGGCGUUGAGCUAACCAAUACUAAUUGCCCGUGAGGCUUGACCAUAUAACACCCAAGCAAUU